ACAGUGGUGGUUAAGUGGUAGAAUUCUCGCUUUCCGUGUGGGAGAUCUGGGUUUGAUUCCUGGCCAGUGCA
rfam:Loxodonta africana unplaced genomic scaffold scaffold_8, whole genome shotgun sequence.